rnacentral:misc_RNA from 1 species
UCAAACUUGGUCAUUUAGAGGAAGUAAAAGUCGUAACAAGGUUUCCGUAGGUGAACCUGCGGAAGGAUCAUUAACGAGUUAGGGUCUUCUAGGCCCGAUCUCCCAACCCUUUGUUUCCUAGACCUCUGUUGCUUCGGCGGACCCGUCUAACUUUGACCGCCGGAGGACUGCUUCAUUCGAGGGUCCUCUAGCCAGUGUCCGCCGGGAGCCUAUUCUCUUAAAUUCUUGAUCAAUCAUGAUUUUCUGUCUAAGUAAUUUUUAUGAAAUUAAAAGCGAAAACUUUCAACAACGGAUCUCUUGGUUCUGGCAUCGAUGAAGAACGCAGC